rnacentral:rRNA from 1 species
GACAGAGGGUGCAAACGUUGCUCGGAAUUACUGGGCGUAAAGCGCGUGUAGGCGGCCCGUCAAGUCCCGUGUGAAAGCCCCCGGCUCAACCGGGGAACGGCGCGGGAAACUAGCAGGCUUGAGUUCGGGAGAGGGAAGCGGAAUUCCGGGUGUAGCGGUGAAAUGCGCAGAUAUCCGGAGGAACACCGGUGGCGAAGGCGGCUUCCUGGACCGACACUGACGCUGAGGCGCGAAAGCUAGGGGAGCAAACGGG